rnacentral:rRNA from 1 species
ACCUGGUUGAUCCUGCCAGUAGUCAUAUGCUUGUCUCAAAGAUUAAGCCAUGCAUGUCUAAGUAUAAGCGUUAUACUGUGAAACUGCGAAUGGCUCAUUAAAUCAGCAAUAGUUUCUUUGGUGGUGUUUACUACAUGGAUAACCGUAGUAAUUCUAGAGCUAAUACAUGCGUAAAUCCCGACUUCGGAAGGGACGUAUUUAUUAGAUAAAGACCGACCUCGUUCUGCGGUGAAUCAUGAUAACUUCACGGACCGCAUGGCCUCGUGCCGGCGGUGUUCCAUUCAAAUUUCUGCCCUAUCAACUUUCGACGGUAGGAUAGAGGCCUACCGUGGUGUUCACGGGUGACGGAGAAUUAGGGUUCGAUUCCGGAGAGGGAGCCUGAGAAACGGCUACCACAUCCAAGGAAGGCAGCAGGCGCGCAAAUUACCCAAUCCUGACACAGGGAGGUAGUGACAAUAAAUAACAAUGGCGGGCCUAUACAGGUCUGCCUUUUGGAAUGAGAGCAAGUUAAAUCGAUCAUCGAGGAUCAAUUGGAGGGCAAGUCUGGUGCCAGCAGCCGCGGUAAUUCCAGCUCCAAUAGCGUAUAUUUAAGUUGUUGCAGUUAAAAAGCUCGUAGUUGGAUUUCGGUUAAGAGCGACCGGUCCGCCGUUUGGUGUGCACUGGUUGGUUUUAACUUCCUGUAGAGGACGUGCUCUGGGCUUAACGGUCUGGACUCGGAGUCUACGUGGUUACUUUGAAAAAAUUAGAGUGUUCAAAGCGGGCUUACGCUUGAAUAUUUCAGCAUGGAAUAACACUAUAGGACUCCUGUCCUAUUUCGUUGGUCUCGGGACGGGAGUAAUGAUUAAGAGGAACAGUUGGGGGCAUUCGUAUUUCAUUGUCAGAGGUGAAAUUCUUGGAUUUAUGAAAGACGAACUUCUGCGAAAGCAUUUGCCAAGGAUGUUUUCAUUAAUCAAGAACGAAAGUUGGGGGCUCGAAGAUGAUUAGAUACCAUCCUAGUCUCAACCAUAAACGAUGCCGACUAGGGAUUGGCGGAUGUUAAUUGAUGACUCCGCCAGCACCUUAUGAGAAAUCAAAGUCUUUGGGUUCCGGGGGGAGUAUGG